rnacentral:rRNA from 1 species
UCGAGAAUCUUCGGCAAUGGGCGCAAGCCUGACCGAGCGACGCCGCGUGGAGGACGAAGGCCUUCGGGUUGUAAACUCCUGUCGAGGGGGAAGAAGGCCCCGAAAGGGGCUUGACUGAUCCCUGGAGGAAGCACGGGCUAAGUUCGUGCCAGCAGCCGCGGUAAGACGAACCGUGCGAACGUUAUUCGGAAUCACUGGGCUUAAAGCGCGUGUAGGCGGGAUGGCACGUCGGUCGCUGAAAGCCCCCGGCUCAACCGGGGAAGUGGCGCCGAUACGACCACCCUGGAGGGACGUAGGGGGACCUGGAACUUCCGGUGGAGCGGUGAAAUGCGUUGAGAUCGGAAGGAACGCCCGUGGCGAAAGCGAGGUCCUGGACGUUUUCUGACGCUGAGACGCGAAAGCCAGGGGAGCGAACG